CUAAUUGGUAUACCAAUCGAUCCAAGCUAUAUAAAUGAGUCUAGGUGUACUUUGGGCAGAAUAAUAUUAUUAAGUAAUUAUAAUUUCAUUAAUUCAUGUUAUUUUUAUGCUUAACAAUUUAUUCUAAUUCAUUUCAUGCCAUAUGCCUAAUUGUGUUAUGGACUUUUCUUUACGUCCAGAUUUGGUGCACUGUCUUUACAUAGCAGAUUGACUAGGAUGUGGCCACUGUUUGGCCACACUCCCUUCAUAGAAUUUGUUUCUCUAUGUCUUAUAGUCACUCAAAAAUUUUUAUUACAAUUUUUCAAGUUUUGUAGAAUUAAUUAUGGCCAAAUCACUAGCCUGGACUCAUGUACCCUAUUCUACCAGGACUUAUGUUUAGAUCAGAAACUUUGACUCCCAUUUCGGGGUUCUUAUGUUCAUAAUUUGAGGACCAAGUCUAAAACAAAGUUGGAGCCCUGUUUCUUAGGGUUCCAGAUCUGUAUGGCCCAACCUAAUUGGAGUUUUCUUGUAGGAGAUAUAGCUAAAUGUGUGUUCUGAGGUCAAAUGGUUCUUUUGAAAAUUUCCAGAAUUUAUAUGUUAACUUAACCUAGUCAAUUGACCUAGUUCCCUAGGUUUCUGGGUUUUGGUUAAAAGAUCAAUAUUGUAUAUCUAUGUCUUAUAAAACUUUUGCCAUUGGUUUCAUUGCAUUUGGAU
rnacentral:misc_RNA from 1 species